UGACACCACCCACAAAAACCAUGCACGACUUUUCAACGACGACAACGACACCUCUCUCACCAUCGGCGGCGAGGGCCUCUUCUUAAUGGGGGUCAUCUUCGUCGGCCUGCUCUUGCUCACGACUUUCCUGGGGCUCUUUGGGACAUGGGCCAAGGUUGCUCAACCCUACGACUAUGCUUCCGCUACCGCUUAUGGUGCCCCUGCCCCAGCCUAUGAUGAGAAGACCACCUUCUCCGUCCAACAAUUCAUUGAGGAUGCUGUCAACAAGUUCCAGUAGAGACUGUGAGCAUAAAUAUUCGUGAAUCAAAUAUGUUUAUAGAAUGAAGACCCUGUUAUGAUAAUUAUUUUCACAAAAACAUUUCUACUCCUGUGAUUUUUUUUCUUCUGGUCGUCACAGGAACCAGUGAAACCCGUUAUUGAUCUGUCGAUCUUUUUUUAUUAUUAUAUUCUAUUUAAUUUAUGCUGUAAAUAAAUUGUUUUGUUUA